rnacentral:lncRNA from 1 species
AAAAACUCUCGUGGGAAUUGUUGGUUCACCCCUUCCUAAAUCCUAAGGUGACUGGGAUUCAGGUAAUUACUAUAGUAUCACAUUUUAAGGUUAUCGAUAUUCUUUUAAAUAUUUUUUAUAUAUGUAAACAUAUAAAUAUAUUUAAGCUUAAUAUCAUUUUAUCCCUGAAUUAUAGUGAAAUUUUCACUUUGAUCCUUAUAUUAAUUUUGAUUAUUUUAUCUCAUUUAUUUUCAUUCCAUCAAAAUUGUUUCCAUUAAAAGAAAUCUGAUUUGAUGGUUUAAGCCUAUCAAAUUCAUAUUCGAGGACAACUAAUCUAAGUCUUUGACUCAAAUGCCCGAAUGUAAUUUUUAUUUUUCUCUUAAUAUUAAAAGAUUUCCCUUGUUUUUUUCUUUAUUUGUUUCUCUUUCUUCUUUCCUAGUAAAAGUUCAGCUUUUCCAGCCGAAACUGUAGGUGCACGAACACUAUCGCUAGCACUCACCAUCGUCGUCGUUCCUCCGACCAGUCCCAGUGAAUCAUCAGAGACCCAAGGGUUCCAAUCCAUUAUGCCCAACCAAUUGGUUUGUAUGGCUCUUCAUGAUUUCAUGAAAUCGUGUAAACUCGUCUUAAGAAAAUGGCUCUUCACCAGUUGUAACUUGUAACUAGUGCUUCUCAAAAUCAUUGGCUGGUAUGUAACCAAUGAAAGCCAUACAAAUGAAAUCGCAUAAUAAUUAUUUCA